GCCGCCGUAGCUCAGCUGGUUAGAGCGUGGGUCUAAUAAGCCCAAGGUCGCAGGUUCGAUCCCUGCCGGCGGCA
rnacentral:tRNA from 1 species